rnacentral:lncRNA from 1 species
AGGCAGAACUUGAGCCCUUUUGAGUAACAGGUACCACAUUUGCUUCAUUAGGAGUGCCCCUGACCAGCAAUGGAAAAGAAAGGGAACAUACUGCAGUUUCAAUUGUUGUGGGACUCAGGUUUUCUCUCAGCACUGCAUAUACACUUGGAGACAUGGGAAGAAGAUCUGUUGGAGAAUGUGGCUCAGUUGAAUCACUUCGGCUUAAAGAGAUAACAAAGUACAUAUUGAAAAGGAUUAAAUGGAACUCAUUUCUAGGGCUUCAUCUAUUUGUGACAUGGAGAUGCCUAAUUCAUUGUCUGAAAUGAGAGCACUCAGCCUAUUAUGGAAUAUACAGCAUAUAGAAGGGCAACUUUAUAAUUCCAGUUAUGGUAGACUAUGGAGCAUUCUGAAGAGUCGCUUUAUGUAUUAAAGAAAAUGGGACAUUGAGCAUUGAAAUGCUUUAUUGUCAGGUAUAUGUACUCUGCUCUAUCCUUCAAUUUCCUGUAGAGAACCUUAGUUUUUAAAAAAUAAAUUCAAUAAUAGAUAUUUUACAUGUGGCUAAGGUUACUUACAUUGUUGAAAUGGGGAUAAAUACAGAUGGAACAUAACCUUUGUCCCCCCUUUCUGUUGGUCUUGAGACUAGAAAAGAAAGGCAGGAUAAAAUGUUACCAAUAUUAUUGAUAAAAUUAUUAAAGAGUCUAGAAAAAUAUAAGUAAUGUUAAAAAGAAGAGAGAUAAUAUGAUUGCUUAGCGAUUCACAAAAAUUUUUAGCUGAAUAGAUGAAACAGUAUUUUAGAGAACCUGAAAUGUGCCAGAAGAGAAAAACAAAUCUCUUGACAGGCCUAAUCUGACUUUGCAUAUUGCUGUCUCCAAAAUGCAUGGGAAAAAUUGAGAGUGAGCUAUAUUACCUAUCUUCUAUCUUCUAUGUUAUGUUUAAGUUUGAUUGUAAAGACUGAUUUAUUUGUGUGCUGGAGGGAUUUAAGGUAACUCUAGGGCAGCAGCAAGUCACCAUCUGGGAGUUAACGACUGCAGGAUAUUUCACAAGAUGGUGCUCGUAGAUUUAGUGGCUAUCCAUGAACAUUGUAAUGGAUCAUAUAUGCUUUUAUUAGAGACACAGAAUGGUGAACUUA